rnacentral:rRNA from 1 species
AGUAACGCGUGGAUAACCUGCCUUGCACUGGGGGAUAACACUUAGAAAUAGGUGCUAAUACCGCAUAAGCGCACAGAGCCGCAUGGCUCAGUGUGAAAAACUCCGGUGGUGUAAGAUGGAUCCGCGUCUGAUUAGCUAGUUGGCGGGGUAGAAGCCCACCAAGGCGACGAUCAGUAGCCGGCCUGAGAGGGUGAACGGCCACAUUGGGACUGAGACACGGCCCAAACUCCUACGGGAGGCAGCAG